UUUCCCGCCCUCCAGACGGCGCCGGCCGCCGCGGCGGACGGAAGCUCCGGCUCUCGCCGAUCUCCAUAGGGAAACAAGGGCCGUUUUUAGGCCUCUCACACUCCAAAAGCGGCCCCCGAACCCCAUUGCCGCCAUGCUGUCCCGCUUCCGCCUGUCCCUCCGCCGCUGUGUGCACACCAGGGAGAAGGGGAAACCCCUCAUGCUGAACCCCCGCACCAACAAGGGCAUGGCCUUCACCCUAUUGGAACGGCAGAUGUUGGGCCUGCAAGGCCUCCUCCCCCCCAAAAUCGAAACCCAGGACAUCCAGGCCUUACGCUUCCACAAGAACAUGGCCAAGAUGAGCGACCCCCUGCAAAAGUAUAUUUACAUCAUGGGCAUCCAGGAGAGGAACGAGAAGCUCUUCUACCGCGUCCUGCAGGACGACAUCGAGAGGUUGAUGCCGGUUGUUUAUACGCCAACGGUCGGCCUCGCUUGCUCCCAAUACGGCCAUAUCUUCCGCAGGCCCAAAGGUUUGUUCAUCUCCAUCUCGGAUCGCGGCCACAUCCGAUCCAUCGUCAACAACUGGCCUGAAAACGACGUCAAGGCCGUCGUCGUCACCGACGGCGAACGCAUUUUGGGCCUGGGCGACCUGGGGGUUUAUGGGAUGGGAAUCCCGGUGGGGAAGCUCUGCCUUUACACCGCCUGCGCCGGGAUUCACCCCCACAAAUGUCUGCCUGUCUGCAUCGACGUCGGCACCGACAACACCAGCCUCUUAAAGGACCCCUUCUAUAUGGGCCUGUACCAAAAACGCGACCGCUCUCCGGCCUACGACGCCUUGAUCGACGAAUUCAUGGAGGCCAUCACAGACAGAUACGGGCAGAACACCUUGAUUCAGUUUGAGGACUUCGGGAACCACAACGCUUUCCGCUUCCUCCGGAAGUACAGGGAGAAGUACUGUACCUUUAACGAUGACAUUCAAGGCACCGCCGCCGUCGCCUUGGCCGGCCUUUUAGCGGCCCAGAAAUCAACGGGAAAACCAUUGGCCCAACACAAGAUCCUGUUCCUCGGCGCCGGUGAGGCGGCGUUGGGGAUCGCCAACCUCAUCGUUAUGGCCAUGGUGGAGAACGGGGUGCCGGUGGACGAGGCGCGACGGAGGAUUUGGAUGUACGACAAACACGGCCUGGUCCUCCAGGGCCGCAAAGAAAAGGUGGAUUCCAACCAGGAACCCUUCGCCCACCCGUCGCCGGGCUCCGUCCCGCGGUCCUUCGAGGAGGCUGUGACGUCACUGAAGCCCUCGGCUCUCAUUGGUGUAGCAGGCGCCGGAAGGCUCUUCACUCCUUCAGUCCUCCACAAGAUGGCCGCCAUCAACGACCGUCCAAUCAUCUUCGCCCUCAGCAACCCCACAGCCAAAGCUGAGUGUACGGCCGAAGAGGCCUACACCCUCACAGAGGUAAGAUGCAUUCUGGGAUACCUGAGGUCCUCCAAGAGGCCUUUUAGGGUGUCGGAGGUCCUCCAAGGUGGAUUCUGGGAUAUCUAAGGUCCUCCAAGGUGGAUUCUGGGGUAUCUGAGGUCCUCCAAGAGGCCUUUUGGGGUCUUGGAGGUCCUCCAAGAUUGCUUUUAGGGUCUUGUAGGGUUUUUUGGGGGUCUUUUAGGGUCUUUUGGGGCCUUUUAGGGUCUUAUGGGGUCUUUUAGGGUCUUUUGGGGUCCUAUGGGGUCCUAUGGGGUCUUUGGGGUCUUUUAUGGUCUUAUGGGGUCUUAUGGGGUUGACCAAAAACCCUAUAAGGGAUCCAGGGCCCUUUUGGGGUCUUAUGGGGUUUUUGGGGUCUUAUGGGGUCCUAUGGGGUCAUUUGGGGUCUUAUGGGGUCCUAUGGGGUCUUAUGGGGUCCUAUGGGGCCUUUUGGGAUCUUUUGUGGUCUUUUAGGAUCUUAUGGGGUCUUUUAGGGUCUAUGGGUUCUUAUGGGGUCGUUUGGGGUCUUAUGGGGUCUCUUAGGGUCUUUAGGGUCUUUUCUUUGGGUUCUUAUGGGGUCUUAUGGGGUCUUUUAGAGUCUUUUAGGGUCUUAUGGGGUCUUUGGGGUCUUUUAGGGUCUAUGGGGUCUUAUGGGAUCUGUGGGGUUCUUUUAGGAUCUUAUGGGGUCUUUUAGGGUCCUUUAAGUUCUUAUGGGGUCUUUUAGGAUCUUUGGGGUCGUUUGGGGUCUUAUGGGUUCUCUUAGGGUCUUUAGGGUCUUUCCUUUGGGUUCUUAUGGGGUCUUAUGGGGUCUUUUAGGGUCUAUGGGUUCUUAUGG